rnacentral:lncRNA from 1 species
UAUUUCAUAAGUUCUUGAACAAUCCGACCCCACCCGCUAACAAUAAUAAUUCGUUGGGCCAAACCAUAGCCCCAAAAUGCUGAAACUCAAUUAUUAUUACUAGUGUGCAUGCCUCAUAUAUUCUAAUCAGAAUCAGUUUUAUUAUUGGGAUAAAUCCGUUGAUAUAGCACUUUGUGCCACAUAGUAUUUAGCUCUCACACUUUCGGCUGAUAUUCGGCUCUGAUACCAAUUGUAACGACCCAACUCGCUAACAACAAUAACUCAUCGAGUCCAAACGAUCGGCCCAAAAUACUUAAGGUCAGUUAAUAUUACUAGCAUAUAGGCCUCAUAUAUCCUAAUCAGAAUCAGUUUUCCAUUAGAUGUGGAACUAUUGGAUCGUUACAAGUUUAGAUCUAAUAGACUUAGGUUUUGAGAUUGGAUGUGUUUCAUUAGAUUCAUCAUAUUCUAACAUUCAAAAUACAUAUCGAAUCAUUGACGCUAAUUAUAUAUAACUAAUUCAUUUAAAGUGUACAAACACAACGUCUACGGGUCUUAAUUGUGAUUCGGUCCAACCCAACCUCCCCCUAUUUCGAACAUGACUCCGCCUCCUCCUGUCACAUGGCAAAAUAUUUGUCCCUUUAAGCCAAUACAAUAAUAUAUAAUUUAUUAUAAAAAAAAAAUU